GAUAGACUGUGCCCCAAAAGUUAUUGUUUUUCACACAUAAAGAUGCGGGCAGCAAUUGUCCUACUCGUGGGAUUGGCUUUCAUUGGGGGCUGUUUCGCGAAGUACUGCAUGCCAGAACAAAACUGCUGGCCAUCAUCAGAUCGACUGGCUAAAUUCAAAGGAACUUUAAAAGGGAAGCUUGUUCUUCCAACCGACGCAUUCUUCGUCAACGCCACCAAGGGGGUGAUCUACAAUGAGAGAUACACCACAAA